AGUCAGAGGCGAUGAAGGACGUGCUAAUCUGCGAUAAGCGUCGGUAAGGUGAUAUGAACCGUUAUAACCGGCGAUUUCCGAAUGGGGAAACCCAGUGUGUUUCGACACACUAUCAUUAACUGAAUCCAUAGGUUAAUGAGGCGAACCGGGGGAACUGAAACAUCUAAGUACCCCGAGGAAAAGAAAUCAACCGAGAUUCCCCCAGUAGCGGCGAGCGAACGGGGAGCAGCCCAGAGCCUGAAUCAGUGUGUGUGUUAGUGGAAGCGUCUGGAAAGGCGCGCGAUACAGGGUGACAGCCCCGUACACAAAAAUGCACAUGCUGUGAGCUCGAUGAGUAGGGCGGGACACGUGGUAUCCUGUCUGAAUAUGGGGGGACCAUCCUCCAAGGCUAAAUACUCCUGACUGACCGAUAGUGAACCAGUACCGUGAGGGAAAGGCGAAAAGAACCCCGGCGAGGGGAGUGAAAAAGAACCUGAAACCGUGUACGUACAAGCAGUGGGAGCCUCUUUUAUGGGGUGACUGCGUACCUUUUGUAUAAUGGGUCAGCGACUUAUAUUCUGUAGCAAGGUUAACCGAAUAGGGGAGCCGAAGGGAAACCGAGUCUUAACUGGGCGUUAAGUUGCAGGGUAUAGACCCGAAACCCGGUGAUCUAGCCAUGGGCAGGUUGAAGGUUGGGUAACACUAACUGGAGGACCGAACCGACUAAUGUUGAAAAAUUAGCGGAUGACUUGUGGCUGGGGGUGAAAGGCCAAUCAAACCGGGAGAUAGCUGGUUCUCCCCGAAAGCUAUUUAGGUAGCGCCUCGUGAAUUCAUCUCCGGGGGUAGAGCACUGUUUCGGCAAGGGGGUCAUCCCGACUUACCAACCCGAUGCAAACUGCGAAUACCGGAGAAUGUUAUCACGGGAGACACACGGCGGGUGCUAACGUCCGUCGUGAAGAGGGAAACAACCCAGACCGCCAGCUAAGGUCCCAAAGUCAUGGUUAAGUGGGAAACGAUGUGGGAAGGCCCAGACAGCCAGGAUGUUGGCUUAGAAGCAGCCAUCAUUUAAAGAAAGCGUAAUAGCUCACUGGUCGAGUCGGCCUGCGCGGAAGAUGUAACGGGGCUAAACCAUGCACCGAAGCUGCGGCAGCGACGCUUAUGCGUUGUUGGGUAGGGGAGCGUUCUGUAAGCCUG
rnacentral:rRNA from 1 species